rnacentral:tRNA from 1 species
GGCAGUGUGGCUCAAGUUGUAAGGCACCUGCCUAGCAAGCAUGAGGUCCUGAGUUCAAUCCCCAGUGCUAUCA